rnacentral:rRNA from 1 species
UACAGAGGGUGCGAGCGUUGUUCGGAAUUAUUGGGCGUAAAGCGCUUGUAGGCGGCUUGUUAAGUUCCGUGUGAAAUCCCCAGGCUUAACCUGGGAAGUGCGCGGAAAACUGGCGAGCUUGAGUGCCGGAGAGGGUCGCGGAAUUCCCGGUGUAGAGGUGAAAUUCGUAGAUAUCGGGGAGGAACACCAGUGGCGAAGGCGGCGACCUGGACGGACACUGACGCUGAGACGCGAAAGCGUGGGGAGCAAACAGG